rnacentral:rRNA from 1 species
CCUACGGGAGGCAGCAGUGAGGAAUAUUGGUCAAUGGGCGUAAGCCUGAACCAGCCACGUCGCGUGAGGGAUGAAGGUUCUAUGAAUCGUAAACCUCUUUUGUAAGGGAGUAAAGUGCGGGACGUGUCCCGUUUUGUAUGUACCUUAUGAAUAAGGAUCGGCUAACUCCGUGCCAGCAGCCGCGGUAAUACGGAGGAUCCGAGCGUUAUCCGGAUUUAUUGGGUUUAAAGGGUGCGUAGGCGGCAUUUUAAGUCAGCGGUGAAAGCCUGGGGCUCAACCAGAGAAUUGCCGUUGAAACUGGGAGGCUUGAGUAUGUGUGAGGAAGGCGGAAUGCGUGGUGUAGCGGUGAAAUGCUUAGAUAUCACGCAGAACACCGAUUGCGAAGGCAGCUUGCCAAGCCAUGACUGACGCUGAUGCACGAAAGCGUGGGGAUCAAACAGGAUUAGAUACCCCUGUAGUC